rnacentral:rRNA from 1 species
UACGUAGGGUGCGAGCGUUGUCCGGAAUUAUUGGGCGUAAAGGGCUCGUAGGCGGUUUGUCGCGUCGGGAGUGAAAACCUCGGGCUUAACUCGGGGCUUGCUUUCGAUACGGGCAGACUGGAGGUAUGCAGGGGAGAACGGAAUUCCUGGUGUAGCGGUGAAAUGACGCAGAGUAUCAGGAGGAACACCGGUGGCGAAGGCGGUCUCUGGCAG